UCUUUCGUAGUAUAGUGGUCAGUAUGCAAGCUUGUCACGCUUGAGACCCGGAUUCAAUUCCCGGCGAGAGAG
rnacentral:tRNA from 1 species